CUGAUUAGCAUUCCACGCCCGUGCGCCAGGCAGCGGCAGACAGGGCCCCAGACGCGCAGGCAGACAGCUCCAACGGGGCCUCUCCUGCGAGCUCGGCCUGCCGCAGCAGCCACGGCCCUGUCCAACAAAAGCCUGCGCCUCCCCACGCCGGCCAACAAAGGCCACGUGGCCGAGCCCUCUCUCUCCAGGGGCCAGGCCCUCGUCAGCAAGGGGGCGGCUGGCUGGAGACGCAGCCCAGGGGGCUUUUGUGUUUCCCGGUUGGCGCUUGGGGGUGUGUGUGUGCAUCCUUCUGGGAGCUGGUAUAGUCAUCAGGACGCAGCCGGCUCCCCGGGGCUGAUUUGGGAGCGGGAAGUUAGAUCACUUGCCCCCCAUCCACCCCGCUUCAGAUCUAGAUUUCAAACCUUGCGUUGGAUUGGGGACUUACUCACCCCGAGUUUAACUUGAAAGCCAAUAUCCUUGAUGUCGGUGGAACCGGCUUCCGAGUGACUAGGACCACACGCGGCAGAGCAGCAGGGGUGCCAACUUGAAUAAAAUUUGGGGGGCCCCAGAGAACAAAGAGAAAAUAUGCAUGCCUGUUCAGAAGCAGAGUUCAAGGGAACUUACACCAAGGUGACACUUCCACCAACAUUCAAGCCAAGAGAUCUUGUGCUUUCUCAUGAUAGUAAGUUAACCUUCUCAGAGAUUUUUCCAGGACAGACCUUACAGAUCCAAGCAACUUUUAAUUUCUUGUUUCAAUCCCACUUCAGAUUCCCUGUACGCUGAUGUUGCUGGCUUCAUUUCAUCCAGGAAUUCAAGUGCAUUACACCUUAAUCAUGGUGCUGUUUUUCUACUAGCGCUGUAGACAAACUUCAAUGAAAUUUUAGAACAAAUCUCUCUCCCGCCCCCCAUUUUAAUGCCUGGGAAUGGUUUCAUAUAAAUGAUUUCAUGUGUAAUGGAAAUGAAACAUGUAUUUCUUAAAUGAUCACCACCAAAUACAAUUGCGUGUAGUUCCCCAUUUCUAUUGGUUAAAAAACACUUUGAAAUACA